AGCAGUCACAGAAAGAGCUUUAUGUUGGCGCUCACAGAGAACUAAGAGGCAAGAUGCAGGCUAAGCAAAGAUAAUUAAAGAUAAUAAAACCACAAUUAAGGAUAUUUGUGUGACACAAGAAUAGAAGACCAGUGAUUUUUUUACAAAGAGUCACUGUGAGCUGAAGAGAGAUGAGCAGAAGUAUGAGAAGUGAAGUGGUGUGUGUAAAAAGUGACUGGGCUAUAAUCACAGUUAACCUUUGCAGAUUGUCACUGGUACGAGAAUACCAUCCUUCUCCAGAAGGACUGUCUCAGCAAGCAUGUGAGCUCUCAAGAUCAAUAUAAUUUAUUCCUCUUGGCCACAUUUUAUUAGCAGCUAAAUGUGGUCCUUAGAGAUAUCUGUACUGGUGAAAGUAAUUUCCAUUUAAGCUCUUCUGAACUGAUUCCCUCUAUCCAAAUAUCCAGCUGCUAAUACAACUGCCAGCCAAUUUCCCACAUGCAUCCAGCCUGCGUGGGUCCCGUGGCCGUCCCUCCACCUCCUGCGUGCAUCUCACCAUCGCUUUUGCCUUUUCCUCCCUGUGCUGACAUCUUCUUUUGGCCUGGGUGCUCUGUGCCCAUGUUUCCCGGGCCCUGUGGCUGCCGGUACCCUGCACGCCCCAGUUUCCCCUGGCUCCACCGUGCAGCACCUGGGCAGUGCUGGUGUGCCAUGUGCCGUGCAUGCACUUCCAGGGAUCUGGGACUUGCGGCUCCCUGCAGAAACCGGUCUAGGAAAGGGUCAUGGGGCAGAGCUGCCACUUAGCAAGGCGGGUAGAUGGAGUAUUGGUAUUAGUAGCCUGCGUUUUCAUGUCAGUGUAGGUUUGCUAGAGGGAAGUUUGGAGGUGCUGUGUAUGGAAACCCAGACUCUUGCAUUAUGGGCUUGGCUGACUGCUUUUAGAUGGCUGUGUUUCAUUAAUGAGCAUCAUCUUUUGAUGUACCCUGUUUUCCUUGAGUGUUUCUUUUCUAUUUAUUUUCCUGUAAGUUUUUCUGCUUUUUCAGCUCAUGUAUGACUCAUGGGUUAGGAUGAGAUGGGUGUCUCCAGUUGUCCAUCCCGUGUGUCGUCUUACCCCUCAGCUGACUAACUGCUCUUUCCAUCGUAAGGUUCAUUUUUAUCCUUAGAGUCCUGGCUCCUGUUACCUCAGAUUGCAGGUACUACCUCAGGGUAAAUAAGAGACUGGCUUUUCUGUGUGCAAGGAAAACAGAAAGUGCCUGGAAACCCAGUCCAAAUAUAUCCUAGUGGCACAGAAAUCAGAACGCAAAUAGUAAUCCCAAAAUGCUUCCAGAAAAUGUCAAGGAUUUAAAAGCUGGGGUUUAAAACAAAAACAAAAGAAGGGAGCUGUUUGGGAGGCCGGCUGCAGCACCCAUCGCGGAGGCUGAUCUCACUAGAGGGCAGCCCGAGACCGGGGUCGCAGCCACAGGCUCCUGUAUGUGUUCUCUCUACCUGUUCCUGCCUGCUUCAAGUCUAAAAAUAAUAAUAAAAAAAGCUUUAAAAUGGUUUCCUGUUUUGGAAGAAAUUUGCUUGUUUGCAGCUUUUUUUUUGCAUACAGGUAUCCAGUUCCAGUUCUUCUGCAUCACGGUACAAUUAUCAGUGGAAAGAGGAUUUUGAAGGAAUUCAAUUUCCCCACGAGUUUAGGAGGGCACUCUUCUAAAUACCAGUAUAGCCUUACAUCAGAAUAAGAAGCUAAGUCCAUCUUUAAAUAUUAAAAAUAUGAGGGACCCUGGAAUACCUGGAGAUAACUGCUGCAAACUAGAGUUGCCCAGCUUUGCCAUGCAGAGCAACAGUAAAAAACCACUACAUUCUCUGUAUGGGGAGUCCAUAAGCUGAGGCUUUGGCAGCAGACAUUUGGUUCCCCAGCAUGCUGAGAUCACAUAUGAUCCAAACCCACCUCAGGGCAACAUCCACUGCUGCUUUCCUGAACAGCUUGUAUUUACUAAUUAAUAGCAACGUUCUGCAUUCAUGUAUUAUUCCAUCAGUCUGUCUCCCAGCCAUUACUGUUGCUGUGCUUUGAAUCACAUUUAGAUCUUGUUGAAUAUUUCAUUUUAAAACAAAAUUAGCAUUGACUAGUGGUAGUCAUGUGUGAUGCAAAAUGAGUAUUAAAAAUGAUAAAUUAUGGAGUAAUAAUAGUCACUGGAGUUACAGCAGACCAGCCCGUAGAAUGUAUUUCAUUUGGUUUUGGUUAAACUACAUACAAUUAGCAUAAUUCAUUAACAUUUAAAAAUAAUACAAAUCAAGAGCUUUUGGGUUCAAACCCCAGUUAUCUUGGACAUCAACAUAACAUAAACAAGGUGUUUGUGUGUAUCUCCACCUUGGGGCUCUGGUGUGAGGUGAAGUGGUGCUGACUACGACUGAAGUGGCAGGAGAGAAGAGGCACGUUUUGCACAAGGCUCCUGUUAAAACAGCGUAUGUUUCACUACAGCAUCUUUUGCUCCAUUCCCAGCAGGUGCUGAAGAGCUGGGAACGUGGCACGCUCCGGCUAAGGGGCUCUCACUCAUGGGGGAGCAGUGUCUGCAGCUCUGCUGCCUCCUGCACAGCUCGCAGCCAGCCGGUGCUUCAUGCCAAACAUGCCUGGAGUUACAAACUGGGGUGAAAUCCUGAGAAAGUUGAAAAGGUUCAUUAAUUAAACAAAUACACUUUCUCAUUUUUCCUCUGUAAUGAGUCACCUUUCUCAAAGGCAUCGCUAUCAGCAUGACCCUGUUCCUGCCACACUCUUUCUCAGUAACAUGCGUAGGCUAUCAGGACUGAACCAUUCUCUUCAGCAGGAGUCAGCUCGUGCAUCUCCAAAGAGAUGUGUUGCUGAGUACAUACACAUAAAGGCCUUGUCUGCUGAGGCACCCUGAAGCAUCAGGUCACACUGGUUUAAAUGUGUGUCUCUACAAACUCAGGAGUGCAACCCAGAGGAAAACAAGUGGAAACUCUUACUCUGUUGAAGCUGGGCUGAAGGAGACCCAUGGCUACAGUCUACACCUGACUAGCAUUGUCCUGCAGAGGAGCUGAGAGCUGCUUUACCCUCCCUGGUCGCUUAGGUUUCUUAGCACCCAUAACACUGGCUGUGACUAUGUUGGUAAUGCAUGUAGGCAGCAUUUUAUAAUUGUGUCUACAUUAGUUUUUUAUCAACCAGUUAUAGAGGCAUCAUUGUCAUGUAAAGCGUGGCCCAAACCAUCACGAGCAAUUUGGGCAGAUCCCUCUGGCUGGACUGCAGUGAAGGGCACUGAGCCAUGUGCUCGGGAGUCUCUUGGCUUUGCCACUUGAUAUUUUCAUACAUGGGAGGAUGAAAAGAAGUCACAGCACCUGAGGUUGGCUGCCACUGCAGGCAGGGUCUUUCUGUGCAGGGUGUUCAGGCUUUCAGCUCCCUUUCCAUACUGUGAUUUCUUCUGAGCUGCCAGUAUGUGGUGGGGCCGUGAGGGGCUUAAUGCUGCUGGAUUGCUUUGAUAAUUGCAUAAAAAAGCCCAACCCAUCCAAAGCCAAGCAGAAAAACCCUGUUUGAGGUCAGUGCUCUAGUAAGUACCUUUUAAAGAAACAAUAAUCUGGUGCAGUAGAAAAUAUUUUAUCCAUCUCCAGUGGAAAUCUGAUAAACAGCAGAGAGGCAGGUGUCCAAGGAGAUAACUAAUAAAUGCGGCUGCAGUUCUGGAGUGAGCUAGCCUCUCAGGCUGGUAAUUAAAUAAAGCCCCUCUCAGGAAAUGCUGGAAGCUAAUAGGUAUACAUGGAGAUGCCAGUUCAUUUGCCUCAGCAAUAUAUGUUAAUUUUAGCAUAAAAUUAAUUUAUGUAUUUUACAGUGGGACAAAACAUCAGGGGAAGGAGAAGGAGGAGCUUUCAUCCUGCCAGUGAUGAGUUCAAGUGGUAUUAAGCACCUUCUUAAAAACUGAAUAGUGGGUGAGAAUGAGGGAGAGAGAAAAGCAGAUCCUCUAAACAGAAUUAACUGGUCACAGAUUUAAAACUGGCCUGAACCACAUUUGCAGGCAGCUGCCAGGGGAUCCUCUGCUUUGCCACAGCUCAGUUAGUACAGAGCCCUAGUUAGCAAAUGGCUUGAGUCACUCGGUGUUGGCGUGGGUUAAAGGGAUUUCUAAGAGUUACCUGAGUGUGAAAUUAGGAGUGCUGCAGUGGUGGGUUUUACCUACAGUGCUUAUUUGAGACUACAGUAAACUCAAAGGGGCUUUGGUGGGGGCACAGGGGAGGUGCAGGGGAGGACCAUUUGGCACAGAAGCACUAACAGAACCUCGUGUGCUGUCUGGGGUGGCACAGUGAGCAAGUCUCUGCUCAGGACCCUGUCAGUGAUGUGGCACCUACCCCUGACAGAGCUGCCCCGCGCCUGGUUUGUGGCUCUCAUGUUCUGCAGAAAAUUGAUUCUGAGGCCGGACAGACACCAAAGUGAGGGACUUUUGCCUGAUGUGGGAGGCAGUGAGGGGACUGUUACCCACUGUGCACACGAGCAGAGCAUGUUUGUGUGUUACAGUCCCUCUCUGAGGUCAUUUUUUGACCCUUGUGUCCAGUUUCAGUCGUACGGGUCACGGCUGCCAAGCUCUCGUACAUGCAGCUGCCUGUGUUGGAGGAUGGAUGCUGUUAACACAGCACACUGUGCCAUGGUGACUCUGGGGUCGUCAGGGCUUGCUGCUGGUGUGUGCCUCCACACAGACCCUCUGCUGCAGGCAGCAUGAGCUCCUGCUGGGUGCAUGGUGCUUGUAGAGGUAAGGCUCUGAUUUACACCUCAGGUGUGGCAUUAAAGGCAUGACUGUAGGUAUUUCAGCUGUGAAACACACACUGCAGCACAGCAGGCUUCUUUCUAAAGAAGUCUUCUGAUCUGUAAAUUAUCAGCAUUGAGGCAGCAGAAGCAAAGCGGAUUUCCCUUUGUUGUUUUCUGCCUUAGAGGAGGAAUACUUGCUUGCCCUUCAGUGUGAUUACAGCCCAUUUACCAACACUUGUUUUGAAUUUCAGACACAUGCUUUGGAACAUUCGCAAGAUGUGUUCCUUUUCAGAGCCUGGAGCACUUGUUUUAUAGCAGAGGGAAACUUCAAGCCGUGGCAAAUCCUGCUGCUCCUGCUUAUUCACCUGUCUCCCUGAGCUCCAUCUGGCUGGUUUGGGAAUGUGAAGUGUUGCUUAAGAGUAAAUGGCUUCAGCAUGAUGGCAGCACCUCUGUCUCCUGCUCCUGAGAGACCAUGGCAGGUGAGGUGUGCAACAUCCAGGGCCAGCUGCUUUUCCUUUGGAGUAACUGUACCUGUUCCUGUGUGAACAAAACCCAGCCUCGUCGUCUGCAUGGCCACAGCCCUGCUUUGCUCUGCCUCGCUGCCCAGGGACCUGCAGCACUGCCAGGCUGCCAGAGGACAGCACACCACAGAAGCCCCAAGGCAGCGGGUGCAGGUUUUGCCAUCUGAGCACUUGUUAUUCACCAGCAGCAUCUGUGUGUGUUGGUAUUUGAGCACUCUCCCAUUUCUUGCAGCCCUAGUUCUUGCUACAAAUUAAUAUUCUCACAACAACCCCCCUCUAAUCAGUCUUUGCUAAAAGCAUUAAUUAAGACUUUAACAUUUUUGAUCCCAUCAAUUUUCUGUUCUCUUCUUAUUAAAUAGAUGUACUAGGGGAGUUUGAAUAGUAACUGCCCGAAGUUUGGGGAUAAUGAAUAAAUUAACUUUGCCAGCCUCUGGCUAAGCAUGAAAUUUACUGUGCAGUAACAAAUGGAACAGAGGCAGCUCAUGCAUUAACCAACCCAGUUUUGUCACAGAGUUUGGGAGCACAUUAUUUACUCACUAAUUCUGAGUGAGGCUAGGCUCCUGCAUGGUUUAUGCAGGCAGUGAAAACUGCCAUGGUCAGACAGUCUCCUGUGUGCUCCAUCACAGCGAGAAGCUGCUCGCCCGCCUUCCCUUCAGUGGGGCCCUGGCGCUGUGCCACACACAGGGAUGCUGUGGGGACCACACGUGUCCUCUUCCAGGGAGCACACAGGGAACUAGGUAAGUUUGCUUUUUACUUGCCGAGUCUUGGUACUUUGAAGGUCACCAGUGCCGUACAACUACUUUUGUGCCGUGUAUUUUCACAUGUACAUGGCUUUAGCACCGGCGCUGUUACACCACUGUAAAUCCAUUUGUUUUUGUAGCAGGCAGUGAAUUUAUAGCAGUGUAACUGUGAGCAAAUGUGGCUGAUGGCACACGCUGGAAAUAUUACAAGGGAAAGUGCAAAGUUCUAUUGAUUUUCUCUCAGGAACAAUGUGUGUUUCCUUAUGACUAUAUUAUAGACGUCUCAGCUCUGGCCCCAACUGCCAUCACUCACUUCCCAGCCCAGGGCUGCAGCUUUGCUGGUGUGCUGGCCCCAUGCAGGGCAAGAGCUGUGUCCCCAGGGCCCCCAGCCAUGGCACUCUCUGCCCAGCUCCACACAGAACUGCAGGAGACUUGCUGCCUUCCCCUGCCUCUGCAGGCUGAGCACUUACUCCUAAUUGAUUCUGACAGCAGACACCACAAGGAAUGCGGAGAUUUAUGAAAGAGCAAGAUUUGCCACUAGCCUCUGUCCAUUAAGGGUACAGCAAAACCUCACUUUGCCCUCUGUAAAUACAAUCAGCAGCAGAGAGGCAGUUGCCCUUUUCAGAAGAGCUAGCACUCUCAAGGACAGAUGUUUCAGCAGAAGUCCUUAACGCACUCACAAGCAAUAAGCCUCCAAAUUCUCUACUUUUUUCCAUCAAAAUGUUUCUCAUUCCUUUCAGUGCUUUGUAAAGACCCAUUGGGGUACCAAGAGCUGCAGCCUCCUCUUUAGCCAGUUAUUUCCUCUGCACUACACAAAUAUGGGGCCAACCACUCGCUGUGUGUUUUGCAAAAAAUGCUGGUCCAGAUGUGGAAACUAGGACCCAAAACUUGGAGAACUCAUUAUGCUGUUUCUGAAGGCUGAAAUAUAGCAAAGUGAAGGUACAGCCAAGUUAUGGCUGCUCCCUUGCUGAAGUUAUCCUGUGUGUGCUGGGAAUGAGUGUGCAUGUGUACAGGUCUUUCCUGGAUGGAAAAGAUGCCUAUUGCUCGUUAGGUUUGGGUUUUUUUUAACCAAAUCCUCAGAUUAUUGUUUAGUAGUUGUGAGGUUUUAUAGUGAAUUAGAGUGUAAGAACUGUUAUUGCUACUGUGGUGUACUUAAUUCUGAUCUCAAAAAGGAUAAGAAAAAAAGUUAUUUUUAGUUGCAGAUUUAGUAUUUUUUCACCUUUAAUGUAAUGAAAGUCUAAAAAACCUUGAUAAUUCUGCUCUUGCCACUGCACACACAAGUCCCAGUUGCUGCCACGUCCCUGUGCAGGUAACAGGCUACAGCACCAAGGGAAGGACAAGUGCAGGAUGAUGUAUUUCCUUCCCUGGUUUCUGUAUGCAAUUCAAGACAUUAUGUACUCUGUAAGUGAUGAAACACAAGUAUCAGAGCAAAAGAUGUCUGUUUACUAAGAGACCAUGCUGGGGAGGGCUGCAGGUAAACCACAGACACACUGCACUGCUUCAGACAUCAGCAUUUUCUGUAGGUAAAUUCAGGCAGAUUUUCUUCUUCCUCUUGUGGAAAAAUGUGUUUGGGUUCCCUUCCUUAGGAGGAAGACAAGACACAGAGAAAUAUUCACUGCCCUUGGGGAAAGGCAGCAGCUGAUGAGGCACAGUUCAAACCCAGGUUACUGAAGACUCACCCUCCCAAGCACACGGAAGCCAAGGACCAUGGUUCUUCAGUGUCUCACCUCUGAUGCUCUUCCAGGUUUGCAGCCACCACCUCCCCAAGCUUUAUGAAGAGCAGUUCCUCUUUUUGUGGGAUGAUUAUGGAUUAUUCCUCAAUCCACGGGAUGCUACAGCUGCCGUUAUGGGGUGAACAUCCUUACGAAGAUUUUAACACCUUUGGUGAGUCUGCCUCAGCACAAGAGGACUUCUAUUACUACAGUGUAGUAGCAGGCUUGAUUCACCUUUCUUCAGGAGGCCUGAGGAAAACCACAGCAACUUAACCUUGAGUGCUCUGCACCGUGCCCCUGUCCAUCUGACCACAUCUGGCACUCACAGCCCAGAGACAACUGGUG